ensembl:lncRNA
GUGAGGGGCCAGGACGGACCCCUGGGGGGAGACGGACGAGGGGGGAAGGGGGAGGAGGCUGUGAGGGGACAGAGGGUCUGGUCUCAGAGGGACCCCCCUCUGGGGUCUUUCUUCCAUUUCUCGGGGCCCUUCUGAUGAGCAGGACAACAUGGAGGACUCUGAGAACCUCCUCACCCCCCCUCUACAGCCCACCCAAGACACGAGGAAAGGCUGGUUGGGGACCCCUCCCCCUGCGCAUGGCGUCUGAGACAGACUAGACCGAGGUCGACAUGUGGGAUCCUACACAAACACACAAGCAUACACACAUAUACACACACAUACACACACACACACGCGCGCACACACACACACACACCCACCCACCCACCCACACACACACACACACACACACACACACACACACACACACACACACACACACACACACACACACACACACACACACACACAAACACACACACACAAUCCUCUCCUAAGUCUCUGGAACUCUGGAACUUUGUACACUUUCAAACAUUGGUACAAUUACACAACUUUAACCAAAAAACACAAACUAAGCCUGAGAGGACCUCCUCUGACAUCCUCUUUUUUAUGUUGUCCGGACCGUCCAGAGGUCUGACUCCAGUGACUCUGAACCUGUAAACCAAUCCCUUUACUGCUGUGUCCAGUGUUGGAUGAUUCAACAAGAAGACAUGACAACAGCACAGAGUUACACAAACCAAGUAGCCAUUUACGUCUUGCACUGAAAACCUUGAGGAAACUCUUAAUAUUGUUAUUAAUAUUCUUAAUAUUAUUAUUAUUCUCUACUCUACAUGUCCGUGGCGCUUCCGAAAAGCUGAAUAGCAAGGCACACUGGUCGGGCGAACUCCAGAGUUAGCUGGCCUAACAGAAUGCUGAUCGCUCCGCCCACCCCAUAUAGCCCCGCCCAUCUCGUAUGGCCCCGCCUAUCCCAUAUGGCCCCGCCCAUUCAGUAUGGCCCCACCCACAAUGUAUGGCCCCACCCAUCUCGGGCGGUUAGGGUUAGGGUUAGGUCGGUACUGGAGGCUGAAGAUGAGGACGUUUCCUGAAGAACAGAUCAGACGGCCAAUCGUAACCAUGAGCUCAUCAGCUCACUCUGAGUGAACUUUUAGUCAGCAACUCGUAAACUGGCAAACUAAUCAUUUCAAUCUUAGACCUGAGCACCGGAACCAUUAUUUCUAGCAACAAAUGUUCUCCACCUAAUAAUGUACAACGUUAGCACCAAUGCAGAGAUUGCCGUUUGUCUGUGGUUGUUAUGAAUAUUUAUUGGCCUGCUUGGAUCUUGAGAGUUUCAUUCAUCCAUUAUAACGGUUGUACGAUCAUUCUUAUUUUUUACUCUAGUUCAAUUUGCUACCUCAGAUUUCAUUGGUCCUUAAUCUUAUUUUCAGACCCAACCCGGAGUGAUUUCAUCAUGUAUAAAUUAAUCAUAUAUUACCAGUUUGCCAGCUUACAAAGACGGAACCAGUGUCCCCGUUUGUACCGUACGACUUGCAAACACUGGAGAAAGAUGCUUCUAAACUGAGAGGGGGUCAGCGACCUUGAUCUGCUCUCAAGAGGGAAAGAUCCUUAGUUUUGCUGUUUGGUUUUACAACUGUUUCUGCACAUCUGUGUGUGUGUGUGUGGGUUUGUGUGUGUUCCCUCGCUCUGAUCAUAUCUUAAUUUGCAUUGGCAGGGAAAAACCGUACUUACUGCUGACAAGUGUAUGUUUUAUGUGUAACACAUCUUUUGGUUUUGGGAUGAAUGUUUUUGACUUCCUAAUGUCUGUAUGUUGGCGAGAGAUUUCUUUAUGCUUUCAGCUUUAACCGUCCAGUGAAAGGAACUCAAAGCAAUAGUUAGUCCUGGGGAGCUGGAGAGAGGAGAAGAGAGGAGGGGUAACUUGUAGCAAGAUCUCAUUUGAAAACAUAUACUCUCUAGGAAUGGAUAUGAGUUUGACACAGGGUCUUGGGUAACAAGACACAGACGCUCAUCCCAGCUGGCGAGACAAACUCUUAAAUCAGACACUAUGUUGAAAGCAGUUCACGGACAACAACACAAACCUAGGUUUGUAUUCAGGAGCCCCGUUCGAUUCCUUGGAGUUCUGUACCCCCUAACAUCCCUGCUGAAUUACAAUUGAUUUCAUGUGGUCAAAUUUCCAUACCUCAGUUUGUAAACUGUUUAUUGCUUGUGACACAAGCCUAUAAAUAUAUCUCUGGCCUUUGUUUUCCUGGAGAUAGAAGACUAGCGGAACAAACGAGACGAGGGAAGCCAUGACCUCUGAGGUGAACUGCCUCAUGGAUGCAGGCCUUUCUUGGUCUCCAUUUUUGGAAUUUCUGCCCUUUGUAAAAUACAGAAAUUAAUAGGAUAAGAGCCAUCUAAGAUUAGCAAAGUAGCUCUGUUAGCCACGGCACCACUUCUGACCUGUUCCUGCUUUUUUAACAUUUGGAAGAAAUACCCCAACAAGAGAAACAAGUUAACCUGAUGCCUUCACUUUCUCUGUUCAUGAUCGAUUGUACAUAGAAGUCCACAUUUAGACGAAGCACAAAUGGAUUAUUUUCCGCCCAAAAUCUCCUUCAACAAUACAUAAGACACUAUAGUUUAAUAAUAGCAUGUUAGAUGGAUAGGGAUCCCUUCGAAUGGUGGGGAAAUUAAAAAAAUAAUUAUAAUAUCCCGAAAAAGUAUAUAUUUUCUGAAUUGUAUCGAGGACUGCUUCUGUUGUGGAAAAAAGUCCAACAGGUAAACACACACUGGCGAUUGAACAGUAAAGAAAACUGGAAGUAAGCAGAAACAGGUUAAUAUGACCGAAUAAUAACAUCACAAAUCAACCUACUCACUAAUUAUCUCUAUGAAAUCCUAUUUGUGUCUGUAAACACUGUCUGUAUCUGCUGCUGCUUGUGGGCCUCGGCUGUCUAUUUAUUUAUUUAUGUGACUUGUUGCUCUGUUUGUGGACGUGCCCUCCGCUCUUCACCGCUGGAGGGUGGAGUGUGUGAAGGCUUUGUGUGUUACUUUGUUUUUUCCUCCCAGUGUUUUUGUGUGUUGAAUUCUUUCCUGAAGAUGUACAUCUGUAAAGCCGUCAUCCUUUCAAAGCAUCUUCAUCAUGAUGAAAGCUUGGUGAGUUUUGAAUCUACCACUAUGGGUCAUCUUCGGUCGGUACGCGGUCAGUAAGAAUCACCACCCGUCGUUGAUAUGCUCCAAUAACGAGAAGACCUACUAACUGGGAUCUCACCCACGUGAUUGGAAUUCAAGCACAAACGUUUUCCGGAGUUUUCGCUCCAACGUUACAUAAACAUUCUGACCAGAAGUUCUGUUUGCAGAGGUGGGCGGUCUAGAAACUCUCAGCCAAUGGAAAGUCUGCCUCAGGAUUUCUGAGUUGUUAGCUUCCCCAGACCCACUGCGAUCGUGUGAGAUGUGAGUAAGGAGUUAAUGAGGCACUAAAUGCACAUAAAUUCACCCUCACACUCAAUGUCGCAAUAACUUUCUAACACUGUUCUUAAUGCUCUGUAAAGGUGCGUUUGCGUGUUGAACCAAAGCAGGAGAACUCUUUGCAAAUAGUGCAAUGUCAAAUCACGAAGGAGAAUAUCACUUCAAGUCAUGUACAGCUCAUUUGGGAUGUGAAGUUGAAGGAAGAAGUUACGACAGCUGGGUGGCCAAUGCAGACUCUUGACUCACGUUUGUAUGAUGUGGCUCGAGGUCUGCCCUUUAUAUAUCGACCUUAGUUCACUGCUGUUUUUGGCAUCUGUUUAAUUUGGCAUUAGUUGAACAAGGUUGAUAGUAUCACCUACAAAAACAGCUUCCUGUAAGGUUCCCACCUAAUGUGGCUUCUCGUAAUUCUCAGAGCAUCUGGUCUUUUUAAGUCAUCCUACCAACGGAGACUUAUGGGCAGGAAACAGGGACAGAUUAAGGUCACCCUCAAGCGAAAGGAUAGAUUGAGAUUCUACGUCACAAUCCUGAAUGACAACAAAUCAAGCCUAGUACUGGAACGCUAAACGAUGUGAGGACUGUUCCAUCCACAACAUGGCAGCCCCACACAUCAGUGGCAGGUAAUUAUUUCCAAAAAUGAGACUACCGAUUGCCACUAGCCCAAGUUCAAUAUUGCCCCCCCUCUGUGCCUGAGGUCCUGGUCAUUAUGUUGAAUCCAUCUCACUUGAAACCCUUCUUAAGGAGUAGGGCCCUACAAGGCUAGGCUGAGCUGGCUUGAGUCAUCGGGCUCAUUCUUGACUCAGGUGAAGUUCUGACGGAGCCUCGGAAAUCCUUCGUGCUGCAGAGUUCCACUCGGCGCUGCUCGUCCUGUUCACGUCAACCCAUGCUUCCGUUUCGCUGCACCAAUCCAAAACCGAUACCAUUAGUGGAGUGUGCAGGGCAUCUUAGGAAGGCCUUCCACUGUUAUAAGACAUGUUCGCUACUGCAAUGAUUAAUAAUAAUUUCACAAUACCACAUUGUCUGGGUACAAAUCUUAACUUAGUAUGAUUUUACUGUUUCGAAACAUCCAAAAAAACACGCAUGGAACCUAUUUUCUGUAGGGUGAGUGGAACACUGAAGUGAGAACUUGUGUUCUGCUCCAGAGUUUAGUAGUCGUCCCCCAGUGGCCUGACUUCACGCAUCUUCGACGUCCAGAACCCUGACCUCAGUUCUAGCGCGUGGUCUGAGUUGCCCUGGUGUGUCUCAGACUCCAGCAGCCAGGCCUCUGUAAUGUAAUGCAUCCUGCAUCGUAGCGCUGGGAGGGAAAUGCAGAUCUGCAUCCGUUUGGGAGUGGGGUUCGUUCAAUGCGAUGGCUUACCACUAGGAUUCUCUAUUUCAGUGACCGCAUGCACUUAGUUAUAAGGGCAUUUGUGUGUGUGUGUGUGUGUGUGUGUUUGUGUACACACGCACACUCACUGGUCAAUGAUUUAAUUUUUCUGUGAUAUAGAAGCACACACAAGGGUUCACACAUGCAUAAACAUGGCCACACACACACACACACACGCCUCUCAUAUUAGUAGCUCUUCCAUUCCCCUGAGCUCUUUUCAGCUCUGUCCCCCUUUCUAUGACUCACCCUGGAUCUGUAUUUGUAGAUAUCUGAAGCACCUGGAUGGGGUUUGCUACUGUUUACACCACACUGGAUUCGCUCUGUCCUCCCUUUGUUUGUACAUAAUGAAAAAAACAACCACGUCUCUAAUGUAGAGGUAAUCCUGCGGCACCCAUAUAGCCAGCACUAUGCAGUACAGAAGAAAUACCUUUCCUUGGCAUGCUUUGAGAUGCAGAAUACUUUAGAGAUGACAAACAUUUCACUUAAUAAAGUCUGUUUGAAUUUCUUAAAAAACAUUAAUGUCAAUAAUUAUAUUGGUAAUAAAUAACGAUUGGUAUGAAAGGAGAGCGACGGUGAUGAAAAACUUGACUUAAUAUGAACCUUUUUACUGCAUGCUGCACUGACUCCAUCAGAGCGAGACGCACGAAGCAGCACUCUUUCUUGUCGCUGUAUGCUUGCAAACUGUAGAGUAAAACACUGAACACUUCCAAGUGACGGAAGAGGCCUAUGAACAUAACUUAUAUAGUACUUCCGGGUUAUGGAAGAGCGAGACGGUGAAUAAUGGCGGAAACAAUGAAUCCUAGAUGCUAGUGGAUUCUCUCUGUUCAUUGUGUGGCUCAGCUCUGUACCAGAGUGAUGCAUGUGUCACAGACCUGGAAGAUUUACUGUGUAGGAGCGCUUGAAUCCAUUUAUUUUGGUAGGGGCUGAUUUAGGCUGUGUAGGCUUUGCUUGGUACCUAGAUACGAGAGAAUUUGACAUGUGUGCGAUCCCUUUUCUUCGUCUAAUGCCCAGGUAGUAUGGGCUCCACUCACUGCCCGCUGUGCCAUUCUCCAAACAUCUGGGAGUGUGGGUUGGGAUGACAACAUCUGGCCUAUUUAAAAAAUCUGCUGUGUUAAUAAUAUGUUGCCUGAAGCACAUAAUGGGUGUUGAAAAAAAAACUUAUUUACACUUACCCACCAAACCUAUGUUUGUUAUUUUCUUUAUUUUGGGAUUGAAGGACGUGUGUAAACUCUGUCUUUUCAGAUGAGGAUUAAUCAAACGGUUCUUAAUUUACCUUAAUAGGCCUAAAUCAGAAAUGGGUACCCCAAGGGCUGGAAAAGGUGGAGCUUAUUAAGUUAAUUAUAGGACUGAAGUCAUGACAGUGACAAGCAUUUAUUUCAAUAUACAGAGAUAUCCCUGUGGCUAAAACUUUAACAGUAGAGUAAUUAACCAUGAAUUAACAUUGAGUAAUAAGCAUUAACUAAGUUAUUGAACAGUAAAUGAACAGUAAACUAAUGCUCUAGUAAUCCUUUACUAAUUGUGUUAAUAUAUACUUUUUUAUUUAACUAAGCUAAUGGUGUUCAUGUUAACUAAGGUAUUAAUAGAUACAUUAUUUAAUUGGGUUAGGGCUAACCCCUUUGGUAGUUAGUUGUAGGGUUUACCUUAACCCUAUUACAUAAUGUAUAAAGUCAUGCCUGGGUUAACAGGAACACCAUUAGUGAAAUUGUAUUAGCCCAUUAGUUUACUGUGAACAAAGUGGAAUGCAUUUUACUGCAAUAACUAUCAGUUAAUUGUUAGCUGAUUGUUAGUUAACGCAUAUUACUGCAGUAACAAAUAAUGAUGAAUGGUUGAUUACUGCACCCUUGUGGUAGAGUGUUUCCCAGCUCCUCACCACAUCAUCCCAGCUGUGAUGAAGAGUUGAGCAGGCCAGGCCAGUGAGGUUUAGAAGAAGAUGAUGCAUCACUCAUCACAAUGUUGAAGAAGGAGGAGGGAUUGACUGUCUAAUGGCAUUAUCAAUUUGAACUUUAUAGAAUUUCCAAAUAUUUAUUUCAAUAAACCUCUUUGAAAGCAAUAUAUGGGUGUGUGGAUUCCCAUUGUCUAAUUAUGAAUUUUACCUUUAUAUCAUUUCCAAAUAUUUAUUUCAAUAAACCUCUUUGAAAGCAAU